ACUCCUACGGGAGGCAGCAGUGGGGAAUAUUGCGCAAUGGGCGAAAGCCUGACGCAGCAACGCCGCGUGAGGGAAGAAGGCCUUCGGGUCGUAAACCUCUGUCAGGAGGGAAGAAGUGCAUGGAUUCGAAUAGGGUCUGUGUUUGACGGUACCUCCAAAGGAAGCACCGGCUAACUCCGUGCCAGCAGCCGCGGUAAUACGGAGGGUGCAAGCGUUAUUCGGAAUUACUGGGCGUAAAGGGCGUGUAGGCGGCCUUUUAAGUCAGGUGUGAAAGCCCACGGCUUAACCGUGGAACUGCACUUGAAACUGGAAGGCUUGAGUACGGGAGAGGGCGGCGGAAUUCCCGGUGUAGGAGUGAAAUCCGUAGAUAUCGGGAGGAACACCAGUGGCGAAGGCGGCCGCCUGGACCGUAACUGACGCUGAGACGCGAAAGCGUGGGGAGCAAACAGGAUUAGAAACCCCAGUAGUCC
rnacentral:rRNA from 1 species